ensembl:lncRNA
UUAAUGUGGGUGAUAUGGUGAUGUUUCCACCAUCGUUGCUUAACUAUUUACAUAAUCAGAAUUACGUAAGUGACAUGGAAAAGCCACUGACUACCUCUGACAGCCAUGAAUAAAAGACAGGGACUAUAACAAAUGUAGUAAUCACAGCCAUGAAUAAAAGUUAGUCACCAAAACAGUAAUCAAUAAGCUGAAACAUGUGGAUCCCUCUUUGGCCCUCUGGCCCAGGGGCUAUUAUCUACAGAACUUUAGCACGUCAGAUGUGUCAACAACAAAGUGUUCCAGAACGGAACCCCCAGUCAGGGUGAAGGUGACAGCAUCUUGUUUUGUGUCUGUAGUUUGUUUCUCAGGAGGACCACCCUGGAUAAACUUCACAUACUGUAGAUAGUGAACCUGGGACUGCCCAGAGAUAAUGCAGAGAUAAUAAAGAAACAGUCAGACUGACACCUGAUCUUUAACUGGAGGGACACAUGUUGCAAGGACCAAACAGCUGUCUUGUUCUUAGAUGUCUGAGGCAUUGACCUGCUCACUGUCUUAGUCUACCUGGUUUCUCCACUGAGGCUUCUCAAGCCAGCAUGAGUGUCUGGAGUACUUUCUGAGGUCCUGGACUCCUCUACGUCUGGAGUAUGCCUGAGGUCCUGGACGCCUCUACGUCGGGAAUAUGCCUGAGGUCCUGGACGCCUCUACGUCGGGAAUAUGCCUGAGGUCCUGGACGCCUCUACGUCUGGAGUAUGCCUGAGGUCCUGGACGCCUCUACGUCUGGAGUAUGCUUGAGGUCCUGGACGCCUCUACGUCUGGAGUAUGCUUGAGGUCCUGGACUCCUCUACGUCUGGAGUAUGCCUGAGGUCCUGGACUCCUCUACGUCUGGAGUAUGUGUGUCGUCGCCCCCCCUCCCCGAGUGUGCGGGAACUCCAUAGUGGGCUGUGUGGGGAAGCUCAGUGUGUCCCCCGGCCAGACACGAAGACUAGAAGCUUCUUGACGGUCAGAGACUCACAUCCCUGAAGAAGACACAAACAAAGACAAUAUGACCUAGGAUGAAUCUUGAGAGGCUGACGUACUUCUCCUAAACAUAAUGCAUUACUAUUCAUAUAUAAAAACAUUCUCUCCUUGAUCUCCUCUAUUAUGCCUGUUUCCAGGACCCAGAUUCAGCCGUGUCCUGGACUAAAAAUCAUCCAUGAUGAUUAAUCAGUUGCAUUGAAGAUUGAUGACAUUUUCCUUACACUCCACCCCAAUAAGCCAGUCCCUCCAGUAGCCAUACGUUAUGUUCUCAGCUAUUCUCUCAUCACUACCGGGGGCUGAGAAGUUCACGUGGAAGAGCGUGAGGUCUACUGCAGAGAGAGGUCUGGCUAGUAAUAUCUGCUUGAAUACAGCAGGAUGCCUCUAGCAAGCCCAAUGUAGCCAGUCCUCCUUUCAUUUGGUUUAAACAACAAAAAGGACAACACAGAGUGAGGGACACAAGAGACUGAGCUCAUAAAAGUAAUUACUGUAAAGGGUUUUAUCUCACAGCAGUGCCAAAAGUGACUAGGCCCAACUCAGCAGUUAUUGUACAAAACAUACUUAAUGGUCCACAUGACAACCAAACAUCCAAAUAGCCCCUCGCAGCAAACCGCACAAUGUCUUCCCUGUCCUCCCAUGUUUGGACAGGGCUGAGGACCCCCAGCGGACGCAGAAUUAAAGACUCCUCCUCCAUGACCUCACUAGCAGCCUCCAGGGUUGUGGCCGCCUUAAGCUGUGGGUUGAAUGACACGAUAUCACAAUGCAAAUCACAACCCCAGGCCUGUAUUCACAAAGCAUCUCAGAGUAGGAGUGCUGAUCUAGGAUCAGUUUCCCAUUUUAGAUCAUAAUGAAUAAGAAUAUACAGGUCACUGCCAAAAUAAAGGAAACACUUACUGCCUUUGUCAGUCGAUAGGAACAUUCGCCCGAGCUAUUUAGGAGGGAUAUCACACCUGGCACAAAUGGUUGUCUAGUUCUGUUUUUCCUGCUGAGGGGUGCUCUAUACCUGCGCCCAGAGGGGAGUAGUUCAACGUCCAGGUACAGGGGGUGGCUUGGGUCUAAAAUGAUUUUGUGAGCCUUGUGGAGGGCCCUGACCUUAAAGAUCUCAUCCAGACCUGUCUGUUUGACUCCAAGUACCUUGCUUGCUGUGGUAAUAAUCCUUCUCAGCAUAUUUCUCAGGCUGACAGUGGCAUUGCCAAACCAACAAACAUGAAAACAAUGUAAGCCAUAUGAUGUGUCCGUCUCAGUCACCAGAUCUCAACCCAAUUGAACACAUAUGGAAGAUUCUGGAGCAGAGCCUGAGACAGCAUUUUCCACCACAAUCAACAAAACACCAAAUGAUGGAAUUUCUCAUGGAAGAAUGGUGUUGUAUCCCUCCAACAGAGUUCCAGACACUUGUAGAAUCUAUGCCAAG